GUGCAUCUGACGAGUUCCUAAUAGGACGAAACGCGCGUCCUGGAU
rfam:Schistosoma haematobium scaffold205_2, whole genome shotgun sequence.